GUAAGAUAUAGAGAGACGAAGGUGUGUUAAAAUUAAGACUUUAUAGAGAGUUGGGGAUCGAAAACAACAUCUGCUUCUCUCUAAAAUAUUAUCUCUCUAAAUAUUCUCUCUAUCUCGAGCUUCCUCUUUGAUCUCCGGUGAUCGACUCCGGUGGCUUCUCUAACACCGGAGUCGGUCGAUCCUUUCGUUUCUUCUUGUUUUUCUUCGGUGGUGUGAUCGAAGAUUCAAGGAUGCAUGAUGUUUGCUCUGGUCGGGAUUUAGUCCUUUUGCAGCAAGAGUUACUGGAUCUUUCCGAUCAUCCGUGUGGUUUACCCACUUUAUCUCUUGUCUGCGAUUGGCUCUAAAUCUUUUUGUCUUGUCCAUCAGAUGAUGUUGAAUCGGUUCACUUCCUGCUUGCAUGUCUCUGUUUCCUCUGUGAUUUACUCUGGAUUCACUUCAGGUCCGAUCCCUUUCUAAUCUGUUAUCUUUGGAUUAGUUUGGUCUGGCGUGGAUCAGAUCGCUCCAUGUUAUUUCCCAAGAGACCUGGUCGGGUUCUCGUCCAUCGGUUAGCUUCUUUCUAGGCGUUUCUUCGGUCGCUUUACUGCUUCCUUCGCCAUUGAAAGUCUGUUUCAGUUCAGUCUUUCUGAAAUUGAAGCUGUGGUCUACAUGCAUUAAAUGGAUUGUGCUUAUUCACUAUUGGAGGAUCUGAUUAUCAACUAGUUUUUGAUAAUCCUUUGUCAGAGUUCACAUGAAGUUUAAGUGGUUCUGCAUGCAAGUUUUGGGUUUGACCUUUUCUGUAUGCGUUAAUGUUUUCGUGCAUCCUUUGGUUUCUUUUGAUCCUUGUAAAGUCUGUUGUAUUUCCCUUUGUUUAGGGCUUUAACUUCCGGGAAAACCUUGUUUUCGCCGGCCAUAGUUUCCAGGGAACAUGUGUUCUGCUGGCUCAGUGUAUCAUCCAUGUAUCUCACUUUCGAAUCCGUCAAUGUUAUAUAAUAUUUUCAGUGUUAAAAAAAAGAGAGACGAAGGUGUGCAGAAGUAACCAAAA
rnacentral:lncRNA from 1 species